CCAAAUUUAUUUCAAUUACACCAGACUCAAAACAAUUUUACAAACCGACCGCACGCCGGGCCCUAAUCUAGUGAGGCGGGUGAAGCAGCGGAGGGGAAGUGAGAAACCGGCGACAAAUAAGAAGUGAGAUUGGUUGUUUUGAUGUUGAGAAUUAGUAUCAAUGGCGCCCAAAAGCGUCUCUUUUCGUUCCUUUAUUCUACAGUUGCACCGGGAGUGUCUAGUGUAUUGAUGGAGUUCCUGGUAAACUCACUUGACCUCUCAACAAAAGAAGCCUUUUCCACAAGCGCCAAGUUAACUCGUUUGAGGCCCAGACACUAUGACCCGCAUUUGUUACUUCAUCUCCUCGAAGAAAUGGGUAUGAACAAAUCACAGAUCAAAACCCUUGUUUCUUCUUCUCCUGAAUUGUUGUUUUAUCGCGUUGACGAAGUCCUCAAACCCAAACUCAAGGUUUUUACAGCGACUUGGCUUAUCUGGUUCUCAACUUGCUACAUUAAUUAGAAAAAGCAAUUUUUUGACAAGAGGUUUACAUACUAUUAUAGAGCCUAAUCUUGUUUAUCUGAGGGAUUUAUUGCCCAUUCAUGACCAUCUAGCUAUGAUUCUUAUAAAAGCACCUAGGUUGCUUUCCAAUAAUCUCACAGGCAUCCUAGGUAUCUGCUCAAUAGUCGUGACUGGAUUGAGAAAGCAGUACAUCGACUAGAAAAGGAUUUUCAUAUGCCUCUCAGUUCAGGGAUGUUUCUUCAUGGCGUUCUAGUACUUGUGUGCCUUAAUGAAUCGAAAUUAGAAAGGAAAUUAGAUAUUUUUCGGAGUUUUGGAUGGUCUAAUUCUGAUAUCGGCCGAAUGGUGCAAAAGCUUCCUUACUGUUUGGCUUCAUCAGAGGCUAAGAUAAGGACUACAUUGAACUUUUUCAUGAACGAACUGGGGUAUGAAUCUAGUUAUCCCACUUCUCAUGCACCGCUUUUAAAGUUUAGCUUGGAGAAGAGGAUCAUGCCAAGGAAUGAAAUCUUGAAAUUUCUUAAAGAAAACCAGCUGAUAAAAGGGAAGCUAAGUCUUUACACUGUUGUGUCAUGUUCUGAACCGGAUUUUCAAAAGAAAUAUCUACUUCCUUUCUGGGAAAAGAUGCCGGAGAUAUAUGAUUUAUACGUGAAAAGUAAAAACUAAAAAGAAAUCUUUACAGUGGCUGCAGAGCAAAGAGUUUUAGGGAGAGAUAGAUAGCAAGAUGAAGAUGGUGAAGGUGAAUUUGAAGACGACAAAGUUUGACUUCAUUGGAGAGCUUUCAUUUACAAACAAAUUACUAUAAUCUUUGAACAAAUUUCAAUGAGUGAGAAAAAUGUAAAAACUGUGAUAACGCAAUUUCCUUUUAACUUUGAAAAAUUCAACUUUUUGAAUUUUUUAACUAGAUAACGACGGCGGACAAAUGCGAUUCCGGCCAAGGCCGUGAAAGCAAAAAGUACUAAUCCAACAUUUGAGAGGUCUCUGUCAUUGUUGGAAAUAACUGUGUCUUUGUCACCUUAUUUCAAUCAAAGAACCCUAGAUCU